AAUUAGGUUUCGGCGCGCGAAUUGACGCUAACAAAACCGAUCACAGUUAUUAGGGAUUUUUUUAUAAAUAAGGAAAGCUAUUACCGAAGGUGCUUAGAUAGCUUAAAAAAUGUGAACUAGCUCAGGGAAAUCACGCCGCCGCGCCGUGCCUAAAAACUCAGAGACGUGAGGUUUUCGCGCCAAAACCGUAAAGCCUAUACUUUAAAGCAUAAGACGUGACCUCUUCAUGGUAGAAAUACGAAAGAUUGUAAUAAACGCUUGUCGUCGUGUUCGAGAAGUUUCUGGAGAAAUCGACGUCCGCAACACGUUCUAGUUAAAAAUAAACGGGAUAAUAUAAAAAAAAAGAUUGAUUAAAAAUUAAUCUAGUGGCAUGUGCAUUUUCGUGUAUCACGACUUAGCUCGCUACUGCGUUACUUCUGAAGUAAUAAGAAUAUUAAAGUCAUCUUAUCCGUUCUGUUGUAGGUAGGUACCUUGUAACAUCGUGAAACAAUUAUAAUGUAAAUUGAAAAAUGUUUCGAUUAUCUUGAAGCGUAAUGAGUUGCUAUAUACUAUAAUUCAUUCGGCGCCAUUACGUCCGAAAUUUCCUUAAUUGUAUUAAUUAAAUAUAAUUUUCUCCAACAACUACCUUCGUAUAUAGUGAAAAAAAAAAUUUUUUUGUUAUUACAAUUUCAAAUACCUACACGCUGUUGAGGAAGUGAAGCGGUAGGAAGCGUAAAAAACCUAAAAAUGACAAAGUUCGUGACCUUAAUUUGAUUUGUGUUGCAAUGCAAAAAACGUUGGUUUAUUCAGCAGCUGGUUUAUUCAGCAGCAUACAUCAAGUGCUGGUCACAAUAAAGGCUCGUCGCAAUGAAUGGCAUUGCCUCGCAUCCAGCGGAUUCUCGGGUCAUCAAAUCAAAUCAAAUAUUUUUUUUUUUAUUCAACAUAUAUGAAAGUACAUGCUUGUUGAACGUCAAAAAGAACUACCGCUAAUUCACAAAAGCUAGCCUCCGUCCUGAGAAGAACUGACAAGAAACUCAGCAGGCAUAUCUUUUUUUUUUAAUAUUAGAUUUUUUUAAAUAUUUAUUCAUUUUCAUUUCGAUCAUUCAUUCAUUCGAUUAGAUCUUGCAUCGGGACGGAUGGACCUCCCCACACUUGACCUACCAAGCAAUGUAAACCGUACUUAAUUUACGAUAGGUACAUUUUUAUAAUAUACCAUUACUUAAGCUAGUUUUAUCGUGAAAAAAUUGCAAGCUGCAAUCUGAUAUGAUUUUCCAAUAUAUUAAGCUUUUGGAGUCAAGAAGAUGUUAUUUAUUAGAUUAUUAGAGGUUUGAUAAUGAGCGCUCACGGCUGCUUAUCUAAAGUUAAUAAAAAGGUUUCGACUAAUAUAAAAAUGUGCACACAAAAGGGCCACACGUCCUGAGAGUGAAAAUUUAAAAACGAAAUGUCUUCAUUUAGAAUCAAUAAAAAGUUUACAACUCAAAA